CUCCCUCACUCCACGCCCCUCCUCGGGGACAGCUCUGCUCGGAACUGUCCUGAAGGUCAUCCUAUUUGAUUCUUUGAAUGUUGUUUAGAGUUGGGGUCUGAUAUAAAAUGUCACUUUCGGAAUUUCAUCAACCAUGACAACGGAGUCUUGCUCUGUAGCUGAGGCUGGGGUGCAGUGGCGCGAUCUCGGCUCACUGCAAGAUCCGCCUUCGGGGUUCACGCCAUUCUCCUGCCUCAGCCUCCCGAGUAGCUGGGAUUACAGGCGCCCGCCACUGCGCCCAGCUAAUUUUUUGUAUUUUUAGUAGAGACGGGGUUUCACGGUGGUCUUGAUCUCCUGACCUCGUGAUCCACCCGCCUCGGCGUCCCAAAGUGCUGGGAUUUGUGUGCUUUAAUCUUGAUGAUAUGUUGUAUUUUUAAGUAUUCAGUUAUUUAAAAGAUAAUGUAUUUUAAUGAGGCAAUAAACAAGUUAUAUUACUUUUUUUUUUUGAGACAGAGUUUCGCUCUUGUUGCCCAGGCUACAGUGCAGUGGUGCAAUCUCACUCACUGCAAACUCCGCCUCCAGUGUUCAAGCGAUUCUCCUUUCUCAGCCUCCCAGGUAGCUGGGAUUACAGGCAUGUGCCACCACGCCCAGCUAAUUUUGCAUUUUUAGUAGAGACAGGGUUUCUCCAUGUUGGUCAGGCUUGUCUUGAACUCCAAACUUCAGAGGAUCCACCAGCCUCAGCCUCCCCAAGUGCUGGGGUUAUAGGUGUGAGCCACCGCACCCGGCCACAAAUUAUAUUAAUUCUAAAAUGGAAGGAAUUGCUAAUAAUGCUAUCAGAAUGUGGUAUGUUAAAGGUCAGUUGUCUGCCUCCCCAGACAUCCUGGGUUAGCAUUAUCUUGAUGAACUCCCAUGGUCUGAUCUAGAAACCUACCUCAAUUUUUUAACAUCAGAAACUUGAUUUGUCUGUAUGCUAAAAGUGAUUCCUAUUAAAUGAGAGUUUUGUUUCUACCAGACUAAUUUUUAUGUCGUAAAAAAUUAUUAACAGAUUAUGUUAGUUUCUUUAUUCAAUUUAUUCAUGUCAUAAUUAAAAAUGAUUACUUCUUUUU